rnacentral:rRNA from 1 species
UGCGUAGGCGGUUUAAUAAGUCAGAGGUGAAAGCUCACAGCUUAACUGUGGAAUUGCCUUUGAUACUGUUGAACUUGAAUCAGGUUGAGGUUGGCGGAAUGUGACAUGUAGCGGUGAAAUGCAUAGAUAUGUCAUAGAACACCAAUUGCGAAGGCAGCUAGCUGGACCUGCAUUGACGCUGAGGCACGAAAGCGUGGGGAGCGAACAGGAUUAGAUACCCUGGUAGUCC